rnacentral:rRNA from 1 species
UACGAAGGGGGCUAGCGUUGUUCGGAAUUACUGGGCGUAAAGCGCACGUAGGCGGACUUUUAAGUCAGAUGUGAAAUCCCGGGGCUCAACCUCGGAACUGCAUUUGAAACUGGAAGUCUGGAGUUCAGGAGAGGUUAGCGGAAUACCGAGUGUAGAGGUGAAAUUCGUAGAUAUUCGGUGGAACACCAGUGGCGAAGGCGGCUAACUGGACUGAUACUGACGCUGAGGUGCGAAAGUGUGGGGAGCAAAC